rnacentral:lncRNA from 1 species
AGCCAUCAGAGGCCCAUCUCCCCAAACCCAGAGGACUACAGAGGCACAGAGGCAGGUGGGAGCACAAAUUACUCACUCCCAAGGAACAAACGCUAUGCCCAAGUCUAACUCAGGGCUGCCCCAGCAGAGCCUCAGCUCUAGCAUACAGGUGUGAAACAAUACACAUUGAUCCUAGAGGCACAGAGCUGCAACUCUCUCAGGAUGUCAGAUCCAUCAUGAUGUAUUUUUCUCUAACAGAACCAGGGAAGAUAAAUUGAGAACUGUUAAUUUUGUAGUUUCCUUUUAUCUUCUAUAUCUUAUCGUCUUUUCUUCCCCAUUUUUCAAAAAAUCAUAAUACUUGUGAAAUGCAUCAACAGCUCCACUCAGCUCAGUAGAUGUGGAUUCAAAUAUAUAAAACAGAGAAUAGUUAUUGUUUGUUAUUACCAGCUACACGCUCCAUCAGAAGCUUCUGUUAUCAAUGCUCAAAAGCCCUGAGAAUCCUGGCAGUAGCCUCUGCCCAGUUUCAUUUCCCAGUACACAUAAUGUAAAUACUAUUGCUAUUAUAUGCCAGAAGUGCUAGUCAGUCUUAAGGGCAGGUGUUAUGUUCAUACUGAUUGUACGGGGUUCUAAUUCUAUCAUUACCAGAAAGCAGCUGUUUUCUUAUCAGCUGCUCGGAAAGUCAGCUUCAUUGAAAUCAGUAAAGCAGAGGAUAAUUGUGCCUGCUGGUAUUUUUGAAAGUCUCACCUCCACUUAGAAGCUCUUCUUUUGUCUGUCUCCUGAAUGCCCAGGAUUCAGUAAUCACCACCUUCCAAUAGUUUAAGAUUUUCUUUAAAUAUCAUAAUCAUUUGAAAAUAUUUUUUAUUCUUUUAUCUGCUGACUUUAAAAGCCUUUUGGUAUAUUCAAGUCAUAUUUUCAAACGUCCUUCUGUUAAUAGGAAGAUAAAAGUGUAAAUAUUUUCCUAGCUGAAAGCUGAGAUUCUUUCUUGAACACAUGAUUCACAAAGAGAGUUUUAAGAGCCAGAACAUCAGAUUUUACAGGACUCACAAUGAAGGAUGGUGUCAUGGUGUAGGCUUUAUAUUAAGUAAGUAUAUACACAGGUUUUUUUUUUUGCAGAACUAGGGCCACAGUCACUACAGUUGGGUGUCUCCACCCCAGCCAUGUAUAGAGGAAAGCUAAAAGCAGACAUUAAAUUGAUUAUUUACACAUCUCCCUUCUAAUUCUACAGGAAAAUAUAUAUAUAUCAAAUGAGCAGAAGAUUUGAGAAUUUUUUUUUCUUCCUAUUAAAAAAAAAACAACCAUAGAUGUUCCUACUG